UAAAAAUUAAAUACAGUAAUGUAGAUAUAAAUAAUUGUUUAAUACUUUAAAAAUGUUAAAUAGUUAUAUUAAUGUUUAACUAGGAAAAAUAUUUUAAAAGUAUUUAUUAGAAGAGUAGAAUUUAUUUGAUUAAAUAUUUUGUUAAAAAAAUUACUAUUAGUGCAAUUUCGUUGAAUUAAAAAAAGAGCCAAUUUUGUAAUAUUUAAA
rnacentral:lncRNA from 1 species